GACGAACGCUGGCGGCGUGCUUCAUACAUGCAAGUCGAGCGGGGUCCAUCCAGUGGCAACACUGGUGAAGACCUAGCGGCGAACGGGUGAGUAACACGUGAGGAACCUGCCCCAGAGACCGGGAUAACCCUCCGAAAGGAGAGCUAAUACCGGAUGCCCCCACCGGAUCGCAUGGUCUGGUGAGGAAAUGGAUUCCGCUCUGGGAGGGCCUCGCGGCCUAUCAGCUUGGUGUGAGGUAACGGCUCACCAAGGCGUCGACGGGUAGCUGGUCUGAGAGGACGGUCAGCCACACUGGGACUGGGACACGGCCCAGACUCCUACGGGAGGCAGCAGUAGGGAAUCUUGCGCAAUGGGCGAAAGCCUGACGCAGCAACGCCGCGUGGGGGAUGAAGGCUCUCGGGUUGUAAACCCCUUUCAGCAGGGACGAUUGUGACGGUACCUGCAGAAGAAGGACCGGCCAACUACGUGCCAGCAGCCGCAGUAA
rnacentral:rRNA from 1 species